GAUGAAGAACGUAGCGAAAUGCUAUAAGUAAUGUGAAUUGCAGAAUUCAGUGAAUCAUCGAAUCUUUGAACGCACAUUGCGCCCCCUGGUAUUCCGGGGGGCAUGCCUGUUCGAGCGUCAUUUCACCACUCAAGCCUCGCUUGGUAUUGGGCAACGCGGUCCGCCGCGUGCCUCAAAUCGACCGGCUGGGUCUUCUGUCCCCUAAGCGUUGUGGAAACUAUUCGCUAAAGGGUGUUCGGGAGGCUACGCCGUAAAACAACCCAUUUCUAAGGUUGACCUCGGAUCAGGUAGGGAUACCCGCUGAACUUAAGCAUAUCAAUAAGCGGAGGA
rnacentral:misc_RNA from 1 species